AGCUCAGAGGCCCAAUGGUAAAGCGACUGUCACGGAGCCAGAGGGUCCUGGGUUCUAUCCCCAACGGGGUUG
rnacentral:tRNA from 1 species